rnacentral:rRNA from 1 species
AGUGAACGCUGGCGGUAGGCCUAACACAUGCAAGUCGAACGGCAGCACAGAGGAGCUUGCUCCUUGGGUGGCGAGUGGCGGACGGGUGAGGAAUACAUCGGAAUCUACUCUGUCGUGGGGGAUAACGUAGGGAAACUUACGCUAAUACCGCAUACGACCUACGGGUGAAAGCAGGGGAUCUUCGGACCUUGCGCGAUUGAAUGAGCCGAUGUCGGAUUAGCUAGUUGGCGGGGUAAAGGCCCACCAAGGCGACGAUCCGUAGCUGGUCUGAGAGGAUGAUCAGCCACACUGGAACUGAGACAUGGUCCAGACUCCUACGGGAGGCAGCAGUGGGGAAUAUUGGACAAUGGGCGCAAGCCUGAUCCAGCCAAACCGCGUGGGUGAAGAAGGCCUUCGGGUUGUAAAGCCCUUUUGUUGGGAGAGAAAUCCAUCUGGUUAAUACCCGGGUGGGAUGACGGUACCCAAAGAAUAAGCACCGGCUAACUUCGUGCCAGCCGCCGCUGUAA